rnacentral:snRNA from 1 species
UGAACCGGAAGCCGGGUUACG